UGCCUGCUUGCUCUUGCCCUCACUAGCAAGCCCAUUCCUUCACUGGCAUUAGAGCCUCCUUCUUUGAGAUUCCAGUGUAUCCUGAAGACCAGUUGAAUCAUCCAGCCUUGUGAACAACUGGAUUCUCGGACCUUCCACUCAUUCAUAUGCAGCCAUUGCUGGAUCCACAGUGAUAGUGACUGAGAUGAAUCAGAGUACAACUUUACUCAGGCCACAGGACCAGACGGCACAGGAAAUCUCCGGUUCAUUCAUUUCUUAG
rnacentral:lncRNA from 1 species